AAAUUGUUGCAGUUAAAAGCUCGUAGUUGAAUUUCUGCUACAUUGCCUAUUCUCCUUUACGAGUUUGGGUCUUUUGUGGCUUAUCUGGGUUCGCUUGCGUUCCCGGUGUUUUACUUUGAGAAAAUUAGAGUGCUCAAAGCAGGCUUUUGCCUUGAAUAGUUUAGCAUGGAAUAAUAAAGUAGGACUUUGGUUCUAUUUUGUUGGUUUUAGGUACCAAAGUAAUGGUUAAUAGGAACAGUUGGGGGCAUUCGUAUUUAACUGUCAGAGGGGAAAUUCUUAGAUUUGUUAAAGACAAACUACUGCGAAAG
rnacentral:rRNA from 1 species